rnacentral:rRNA from 1 species
GUGGGGAAUAUUGGGCAAUGGGCGAAAGCCUGACCCAGCAACGCCGCGUGAAGGAAGAAGGUCUUCGGAUCGUAAACUUCUAUCCUUGGUGAAGAUAAUGACGGUAGCCGAGAAGGAAGCUCCGGCUAACUACGUGCCAGCAGACGCGGUAAUACGUAGGGGGCAAGCGUUGUCCGGAAUGAUUGGGCGUAAAGGGCGCGUAGGCGGCCUGGUAAGUCUGGAGUGAAAGUCCUGCUUUUAAGGUGGGAAUUGCUUUGGAUACUGUCGGGCUUGAGUGCAGGAGAGGUAAGUGGAAUUCCCGGUGUAGCGGUGAAAUGCGUAGAGAUCGGGAGGAACACCAGUGGCGAAGACGACUUACUGGACUGUAACUGACGCUGAGGCGCGAAAGUGUGGGGAGCAAACAGGAUUAGAAACCCUGGUAGUCC